ACAAUAACAGUUACCUAAAAUGAAACUCUAUCUGGAUUUAACACCUUUAAUUCUUCCCUGAUGAACUAUUAAUCUUUAUUUUAGUGCUGAAUUUGAUCCCCCACGGAUUGGCUCAAGGUAACCGUCCCCGUGUGACCACAACAUCCAACUGGCCUGAAACAUUCUUGGGUGAGACGCUCACUCUCAGAUGUGAGAUUGAGGGAGGUGGAGACUCUGAAUGGACGUUUGUAUGGAGAAGAGACAGAACAUACAGCUCAGACAAAUAUACAGCAGACAAUAAAUACAUUAUUAGCCGAGCCACUGAUUCUGACAACGGAGACUAUGAGUGCUCAGGCAGAAGGGGAUCCCCUAAUCCUACCUUCACGCCUUGGAGUGAACCCUUCAAAUUGACUGUAACAAAAAUAAUACCAAAGGCUGAACUGAGAGCUGACAGGACAU